UACGUAGGCAGCGAGCGUUGUUCGGAAUUACUGGGCGUAAAGAGUGUGUAGGCGGUGCUCUAAGUUCGGUGUGAAAUCUCUCGGCUUAACUGGAAGGGUGCGCCGGAAACUGGAGUGCUCGAACGUGGGAGAGGAAAGCGGAAUUCCUGGUGUAGCGGUGAAAUGCGUAGAUAUCAGGAGGAACACCUGCGGUGUAGACGGCUUUCUGGACCAUUGUUGACGCUGAGACACGAAAGCGUGGGUAGCAAACAGG
rnacentral:rRNA from 1 species